rnacentral:rRNA from 1 species
AUUGAACGCUGGCGGAAUGCUUUACACAUGCAAGUCGAACGGUAGAGGGGGCAACCCCUCGAGAGUGGCGAACGGGUGAGUAACAUAUCGGAACGUAUCCAAUAAUGGGGGAUAACGAGUCGAAAGAUUCGCUAAUACCGCAUACGCCCUACGGGGGAAAGCUGGGGACCUUCGGGCCGGGCGUUGAUGGAGCGGCCGAUAUCUGAUUAGCUAGUUGGUGAGGUAAAGGCUCACCAAGGCGACGAUCAGUAGCUGGUCUGAGAGGACGACCAGCCACACUGGAACUGAGACACGGUCCAGACUCCUACGGGAGGCAGCAGUGGGGAAUUUUGGACAAUGGGCGCAGGCCUGAUCCAGCCAUUCCGCGUGAGUGAAGAAGGCCUUCGGGUUGUAAAGCUCUUUCGCAAGGGAAGAAAACUUAGCCACUAACAUUGGUUGAGGUUGACGGUACCUUGAUAAGAAGCACCGGCUAACUACGUGCCAGCCGCCGCGGUAA